rnacentral:rRNA from 1 species
AACGGGGGGGGCCGGCUCGUAGGUCGAGCGUUAUCGGAUUAUUGGGCGUAAGGGAGCGCAGGUGGAUAGACUAUGUCUGAUGUUAAAGGCUGUGGCUUAACCAUAGUACUCUUUGUAAACCGGGUAACUUGGGAGCCGAAGGAGAGAGGGGAAUUCCAUGUGUAGCGCGGAAAUGCGCUGAUAUAUGGAGGGACACUCCGUGGUGAAAGCGACUCUCUGGUCUGUAACUGAGGCUGGGGCUCCAAAGCUUUGGGAGUCAACCGGAUUAGAUUCCCUGGUAGGCCACCCCGUAAACGAUGAGUUCUACGUGGUGGGCCCUAUCCGAGACUCAGUGCCGCAGCUGCCGCAUGAAGCCCUCCGGCUGGGGAGUCCGACCGCAAUGAUGCUCCUCGGAGUAAUUGACGGGGGCCCGCACCAGAGGUGCAGCAUGUGGAAUAAUUCGAAGCGCGCGGAAGAACCUUCCCAGGUCUUGACAUGCCUCUGACCGCUCUAGGCAUAGAGCUUUCCUUCGUAACAGAGAAGACAGGUGGUACAUGGUUGUAGUCAGCUCGUCUCCUGAGACGUUGGGUUAAGUCCUUCAGUGAGAGCAACCCCUAUUGCCAGUUGCCAUCAUUCAGUCGGGCCCUCUAGCGAGCCUGCCCGAAAUAACCCGGAUGAAGGUGGGGAAGACGUCAAAUCAUCACGCCCCUGAUGGCCUGGGCUACACGCGUGCUCCAAUGGGUGGCACAACGAGUCGCGAGUCGGUGACGGCAAGCUAAUCUAUUAAAACCAGUCUCAGUUCGGAUAGUUGGGUGCAGAUUGCCUACACGAAGUCGGAAUCGCUAGUAAUCGUGGAUCAGCACCAUGCGGCGAAUACGUUCCAGGACGUUGUACACCCUGCCCGUCACACCACGAGAGUUUAUAACACCCGAAGUCGCUGAGGUAACCUUUUCGCAACCAACGGCCUAGGGUGG